GAAUGAGAUACAAGGGGUAAGAAGAUCAUUAUAAGAGACACAGGGGUAGUGGAGUCAUAAGAAGAGGGUGGCAUGAGAGAUCCAUUUCACUUUGUCACCAUUGUCAAUCAUUACAGACCCCUAAACUUCUAUACAAGCAAUAUUAACAAACAUGGUUGCCAUGCACAUGAAAAAUAUGUAAAUUAGAGUAAUGGCAGGAAGCACGGCCAAUAUAGGUGGAAGAAUCUACCAGCAAGUUCUGGGAACAGUAGGACAUCCCAAGAGAUAGCUGCGAAGAAUCUACCUACAUAACCCAAAACUGUUUUUUUCCAUUAUUUGCUUUAUAUAUCAACAGUAGAGAGGAAUAGCUAUAAGACAGUGCUCAGUAGGAGAACCAAAUGAUACUGGUAACAACAUUCAUUUGAAUUUAUGGAUUUUCUGCCACGUUUGAAUUGAAAGCUGAUUCAGUCCACAAUUUUAGGAUCAAGAUUUCAGCUUUGUUCCUCUGCUGGUAUAGGGAAAAAAUAUUCUUGUGAUUUUAUAGCAUGUGGAUGAAUAGACCGAAUAGACUCCGGUAUUCUAUGGAAGUAGAGGUAAAAAGUUUCCGGUAAACUUCAAACUUCAAAUGUGAAGAUGCUUCCGGUACUCUGUGACAGUAGGUGGAAAAAUUCCGGAACUCUGACAGUAGAGGUUAAAAGGUAAACACACACAGAAAGAAUGCAUUGAGAUCUCAGAUUACGUAACCCCACAUCUGCUUUUCUUACUCACAGAUCUUUUAGAGUAAAAACGUUUUUGUUUUUUUACUUGAUUUUUUUUUUUUUGGCCUUGUCAAACUUUUUAUUUGUUUUGAAAAGCAAAUUGCCCUUUAGCUUGAAGAUAGCUGAACUAUCUCAAAUUCCUUGAUUACAUGUGUGUUUAAUCAGGAUCCCACAUUGUUUCCAAAAAUAGAUAGCCACAGGAAGAUUACAGGAUAAAGUAUGCAAGAAGAAUGUCAAAAACAACUCAACGAAAUCUUGUGUUUAGACAUUACGUAAGCACUAGCGCCAAACACAAUAAUCAUUGUGCGAUGUGAAGCUGUGCAAGCUAAAGGGACGUUGUAAGCACCAUAACUACUACAGCGUAUUAUAGUAGGCUUAGCGCAAGGAGGCUGUGAAUGCCAUUUCCUCAUUUCUGGCAAUCAACUGUUUGAGACGUUUUGACAAAAACCAGGACUCAUCCCUCCCCAAAAGUUGCAGGGCUCUCUCUGCACUCCAUA